rnacentral:rRNA from 1 species
GACGAACGCUGGCGGCGUGCCUAACACAUGCCAGUCGAGCGCUGCCGGCGGGUCCUUUUACCCACUGGUGCGUCACGCGUCGGAUGAUUCACUUGUGGUCGGAAUAACUCUGCGAGAGGGGUGACAUUACCGAAUGAUGUCUACGACCCCAAGAUGUAUCGAAUUUGGAUGGUCGCGCUUGGGAUUUGCUAGUUGGUAGCGUAAAAGCCUACCCAGGCGACGAUACAUAGCUGGUCUGGGAGGAUGAUCAGCCACACUGGGACUGAGACACGGCCCAGACUCCUACGGGAGGCAGCAGUGGGGAAUAUUGGACGACGGGCGAGAGACUGAUCCAGCAAUGCCGCGUGAGUGAUGAAGGACUUAGGGUUGUAAAGCUCUUUUACCCGGGAUGAUAAUGACAGUACCGGGAGAAUAAGCGCCGGCUAACUCCGUG